rnacentral:rRNA from 1 species
CCUACGGGAGGCAGCAGUGGGGAAUAUUGGGCAAUGGAGGAAACUCUGACCCAGCGACGCCGCGUGCGGGAUGAAGGCCUUCGGGUUGUAAACCGCUUUCAGUAGGGAAGAAGCGAAAGUGACGGUACCUACAGAAGAAGCACCGGCUAACUAUGUGCCAGCAGCCGCGGUAAUACAUAGGGUGCAAGCGUUGUCCGGAAUUAUUGGGCGUAAAGAGCUCGUAGGUGGUUCGUCACGUCGGAUGUGAAAAUCUGGGGCUCAACCCCAGACCUGCAUUCGAUACGGGCGAUCUAGAGUGUGGUAGGGGAGACUGGAAUUCCUGGUGUAGCGGUGGAAUGCGCAGAUAUCAGGAGGAACACCAAUGGCGAAGGCAGGUCUCUGGGCCAUUACUGACACUGAGGAGCGAAAGCGUGGGGAGCGAACAGGAUUAGAUACCCUGGUAGUCCACGCCGUAAACGGUGGGCACUAGUUGUGGGAACCUUCCACGGUUUCUGCGACGCNGCUACGCAUAGUAGCCCGCCGUCGGGAGGUACGAGUCGCGAGAAGUUAAACGUAACGUAAAGUAGUAAGUUAGUUACGGUACGUUGAGACGUUGCCGACGGACGACGACGAGGGAGGAGG